GACGAACGCUGGCGGCGUGCUUAACACAUGCAAGUCGAACGGAAAUGCCCUGCUUUUGUGGGGUGCUCGAGUGGCGAACGGGUGAGUAACACGUGAGUAACCUGCCCUUGACUUUGGGAUAACUUCAGGAAACUGGGGCUAAUACCGGAUAGGAGCUCCUGCUGCAUGGUGGGGGUUGGAAAGUUUCGGCGGUUGGGGAUGGACUCGCGGCUUAUCAGCUUGUUGGUGGGGUAGUGGCUUACCAAGGCUUUGACGGGUAGCCGGCCUGAGAGGGUGACCGGCCACAUUGGGACUGAGAUACGGCCCAGACUCCUACGGGAGGAAGCAGGGGGGAAUAUUGAAAAAUGGGCGGAAGCCUGAUGCAGCAACGCCGCGUGCGGGAUGACGGCCUUCGGGUUGUAAACCGCUUUCGCCUGUGACGAAGCGUGAGUGACGGUAAUGGGUAAAGAAGCACCGGCUAACUACGUG
rnacentral:rRNA from 1 species